AUUGAACGCUGGCGGCAUGCUUUACACAUGCAAGUCGAACGGAUUUUGGAGCUUGCUCCAGAGUUAGUGGCGAACGGGUGAGUAAUAUAUCGGAACGUACCCAGCAAUGGGGGAUAACGUAGCGAAAGUUACGCUAAUACCGCAUAUGCCCUGAGGGGGAAAGCAGGGGACCAGCAAUGGCCUUGCGUUGUCGGAGCGGCCGAUAUCGGAUUAGCUAGUUGGUGAGGUAAAGGCUCACCAAGGCGACGAUCCGUAGCGGGUCUGAGAGGAUGAUCCGCCACACUGGGACUGAGACACGGCCCAGACUCCUACGGGAGGCAGCAGUGGGGAAUUUUGGACAAUGGGGGCAACCCUGAUCCAGCCAUGCCGCGUGAGUGAAGAAGGCCUUCGGGUUGUAAAGCUCUUUCAGGUGGAAAGAAAAGGUUGCGGAUAAUACCUGCAACUGAUGACGGUACCAUCAGAAGAAGCACCGGCUAACUACGUGCCAGCAGCCGCGGUAAUACGUAGGGUGCGAGCGUUAAUCGGAAUUACUG
rnacentral:rRNA from 1 species